CCAGGGGUUCCACCCCUGGCUACCAUCUGCCGCCCCUCCGGGGCU
rnacentral:sRNA from 1 species